AUAAAAAAUAAAUAAAUCAAGACAUUGAAUGAAAUCUACUAUAUAGGAAGUACUAAGAAAUCAUAGCUAUAAUUAACGGUUUUCCACAUUGAUCUAGUGAUUCGUGAUUAACUGCUCUUAGUGAAAAAUGAAGGCCUCCUAUAUCACAGGUGGUCAGCAUGGAUAUGGGUAGCUGUACUGUAAAUAAGUCAGCUUCCACAGUGAUUUCUCUCCACCUCCCUCCACUCCCCAAAGCGGCUCGGGAUGCAAAGGAGGUAUAUCAGCUCCAGUGGCGGACUUCACCUGCAGAGGACCAGAAAGCAGCUUGGCCCUCCACUGCAGAGGGAGAUUAAGUUUUACAAUUAUCCUGCAAAGGAAAUAUUACUAUUCCAGUUCUUCAUAUGAAAAUGAAGAAAAGCUUUAGUGUUACUCUGGAUCACGUGACUGCAGUACCUUUGGCCCACAGUGUUCUUAUCUUAUAGAACACACAAUUAGCCAGUGAAAAACUCAUAACUAGUCUAUCUAGUGGAGAAAAAUUCUUGUGGGCAGUUUGAAAGCCUCUAAGAGAAGAUUAUGAAGUUUGGAACCAGAUGCCAGGAGACACGAGGAAGGCUGUAGAUGCUUUGAACUUGUCUACUGGAGGAAUAUGCUAUGUUGUGUACUUCAUCUCUAUGAAUAUUUAGCAAGGAUUUCUACUGAACGUUUGCAGUAAUAAAAAGUAUGCCAUCAGUUUUAAUAAAGAGACACCCACUUCAAUUACUAUUUGUUACAACACUUCCAGUAUCACUUGUGACAAAUUUCAAUUAUAGUUGAAAUCCAAAGCAUAAUCCAGUUCAGAGAGACACAUGGAAGUGACCCUUGAGCUUUAUUUUGUUAAGUUAAAGUUAAAACAUUGCUUUUAUUUCAUCAUGUCGACAAACAUCCCUGGGAGUCAGAACCA
rnacentral:lncRNA from 1 species